UACAGAGGGGGCAAGCGUUGUUCGGAAUUACUGGGCGUAAAGGGCGCGUAGGCGGCCUUCUAAGUCGAACGUGAAAUCCCCGGGCUCAACCCGGGAACUGCGUCCGAUACUGGAAGGCUUGAAUUCGGGAGAGGGAUGUGGAAUUCCAGGUGUAGCGGUGAAAUGCGUAGAUAUCUGGAGGAACACCGGUGGCGAAGGCGACAUCCUGGACCGGUAUUGACGCUGAGGCGCGAAAGCCAGGGGAGCAAACGGG
rnacentral:rRNA from 1 species